AAAAAAAAAAGACCGUCGGUCUACCGAGCAAUAUCACCCGCUCGGUGGAAGAUCUUCUCUUCGUUGU
rfam:Bombyx mori DNA, contig: Bm_scaf1_contig701, strain: p50T/Dazao, build 2, whole genome shotgun sequence.